AUGGAAUCAAUUGCGUACAACAGCGAGGCAAUCCGUUUCAACAGCAUGCUACAAACCGGUGGGACCUAUGAUUUCAAUCGCGUCGGGUUCAGCCCCACAGAAAUGCCAGAUGGACAUUUCUGGUACCUAAACAUGGACUUUGUCACCACACUAAGUUCUACGACCGAGGUCUGGAUGUCGGCACAGCAAAUAACGUCGACAAUUUGCCCACUGUGCUUCCCACAGUUUGAAGAAAUAUUUGAGCUACGGGACAAAACCAUCACUGGUGCAUCAUCUUUACAUUUGUUGUUGUAUAUUAUGUUGUAUAACUCAGAGUCUCAUUCUGAUUUCAAAUUGGCAGAUGUGGUUGCUAUCCUUGCAUACGUUGGUCAGAUAGAAUAUAAGUUGGAUUCAAUAUAUGACCGCCGCGUCCCUUCCCUCAAGAUUGGCCUCAUGAACUCUCAAUAA
rnacentral:rRNA from 1 species